rnacentral:rRNA from 1 species
CCCUUAGAUGUUCUGGGCGGCCCGCGCACUACAAUGGCGUGUGCAGCGAGUGCCGAAGUAGAGUUUUCCGAGGUAUUCUUGCAAUGCUCGUUUUGAUGGGGAUAGACCCUUGCAACUGUUGGUUUUGAACGAGGAAUUCCUUGUAAGCAUGGUUUAUCAUCCGACGCUGAAUGCGUCCCUGCCCUUUGUACACACCGCCCGUCGCUCCUACCAAUGAGUCGUCCGGUGAAGUUCGUAGACCUCGUGAUCGCGGAUCACUGGGGGAAGCAAAAUGAACCUCGCGGUUUAGAGGAAGGAGAAGUCGUAACA